rnacentral:lncRNA from 1 species
AAUUAUUUAGCGGUGAUUAUCAAACGGCCACUAUUACUAUUAUUUUAUUAUCCCUUUAGCGGCAAUUAAUUUCAAAUAUAUAUCUUUAACCCACUAAUAUUUAUAUAUUAAAUAAAUAUAAUAAUCCUAACUUAACCUCAACCCUAACCGAACACACCGGAUCGAACCACCCUGCGUCAAUCACCUCAGCUCGCGCCCUUUCUCUAUCGCGAGUGGAUCAUCCCCACCCCCGUGCACCCUACAUCCCCCCCUUUCCCCC